UACGGGGGGGGCAAGCGUUGUUCGGAAUUACUGGGCGUAAAGGGUGUGUAGGUGGCUUGCUAAGUCAGACGUGAAAUCCCUCAGCUUAACUGGGGAACUGCGUCUGAGACUGGCGAGCUUGAGUGCAGGAGAGGAACGCGGAAUUCCAGGUGUAGCGGUGAAAUGCGUAGAUAUCUGGAGGAACACCGGUGGCGAAGGCGGCGUUCUGGACUGCAACUGACACUGAGAGACGAAAGCCAGGGGAGCAAACGGG
rnacentral:rRNA from 1 species